rnacentral:rRNA from 1 species
UACGUAGGGGGCGAGCGUUGUCCGGAUUUAUUGGGUUUAAAGGGUGCGUAAGCGGAAUGAUAAGUCAGUGGUGAAAGCCUGCAGCUUAACUGCAGAACUGCCAUUGAUACUGUCAAUCUUGAGUAUAUUUGAUGUGGGCGGAAUGUGUCAUGUAGCGGUGAAAUGCUUAGAUAUGACACAGAACACCGAUUGCGAAGGCAGCUCACAAAACUAUAACUGACGCUGAGGCACGAAAGCGUGGGUAUCAAACAGG